ensembl:lncRNA
CUAAUUUCAUAUUUAAUUUUGAGGACCCGCACACACACACACACACACCACACACACACACAUACACACACAAGAAGAUAUAAUAUCUGCUUCUACAUCUUGUCACGUUAGCAUCGCCAGUAAAUUAAGCAUAAAACUGGUGUUUAUAUACCCUGAAUAUAUAUUUUUAUUUACUUACUGCAAUGCUAAUUUGUGGCGUAUUGUUUACUAUAAUGCUAGUUCAAGUGUUAGCUUCUUUACUAUAAUGCUAGUUAAAAUGUUAGCUUCUUUACUAUAAUGCUAGUUAUAGUGUUGACUUCUUUACUAUAAUGCUAGUUCAAGUGUUAGCUUCUUUACUAUAAUGCUAGUUAAAAUGUUAGCUUCUUUACUAUAAUGCUAGUUAUAGUGUUGACUUCUUUACUAUAAUGCUAGUUCAAGUGUUAAUCUGUUUACUAUAAUGCUAGUUCGUGUUAGCUUCUUUACUAUAAUGCUAGUUAUAGUUGUAAUCUGUUUACUAUAAUGCUAGUUCGUGUUAGCUUCUUUACUAUAAUGCUAGUUUAUAUGUUAAUCUGUUUACUAUAAAGCUAGUUCGUGUUAGCUUCUUUACUAUAAUGCUAGUU